UGGGGAAUAUUGGACAAUGGGCGCAAGCCUGAUCCAGCCAUGCCGCGUGAGUGAUGAAGGCCCUAGGGUUGUAAAGCUCUUUCACCGGUGAAGAUAAUGACGGUAACCGGAGAAGAAGCCCCGGCUAACUUCGUGCCAGCAGCCGCGGUAAUACGAAGGGGGCUAGCGUUGUUCUGAUUUACUGGGCGUAAAGCGCACGUAGGCGGUCUUUUAAGUCAGGGGGGAACUCCCGGGGCUCAACCCCGGAACUGCCUUUGAUACUGGGAGUCUUGAGUAUGGUAGAGGUGAGUGGAAUUCCGAGUGUAGAGGUGAAAUUCGUAGAUAUUCGGGGGAACACCAGUAGCGAAGGCGGCUCACUGGACCAUUACUGACGCUGAGGUGCGAAAGCGUGGGGAGCAAACAGG
rnacentral:rRNA from 1 species